rnacentral:rRNA from 1 species
GAUGAACGCUGGCGGUGUGCCUAAUACAUGCAAGUCGAGCGAACGGACGAGAAGCUUGCUUCUCUGAUGUUAGCGGCGGACGGGUGAGUAACACGUGGAUAACCUACCUAUAAGACUGGGAUAACUUCGGGAAACCGGAGCUAAUACCGGAUAAUAUUUUGAACCGCAUGGUUCAAAAGUAAAAGACGGUCUUGCUGUCACUUAUAGAUGGAUCCGCGCUGCACUAGCUAGUUGGUAAGGUAACGGCUUACCAAGGCAACGAUGCAUAGCCGACCUGAGAGGGUGAUCGGCCACACUGGAACUGAGACACGGUCCAGACUCCUACGGGAGGCAGCAGUAGGGAAUCUUCCGCAAUGGGCGAAAGCCUGACGGAGCAACGCCGCGUGAGUGAUGAAGGUCUUCGGAUCGUAAAACUCUGUUAUUAGGGAAGAACAUAUGUGUAAGUAACUGUGCACAUCUUGACGGUACCUAAUCAGAAAGCCACGGCUAACUACGUGCCAGCAGCCGCGGUAAUACGUAGGUGGCAAGCGUUAUCCGGAAUUAUUGGGCGUAAAGCGCGCGUAGGCGGUUUUUUAAGUCUGAUGUGAAAGCCCACGGCUCAACCGUGGAGGGUCAUUGGAAACUGGAAAACUUGAGUGCAGAAGAGGAAAGUGGAAUUCCAUGUGUAGCGGUGAAAUGCGCAGAGAUAUGGAGGAACACCAGUGGCGAAGGCGACUUUCUGGUCUGUAACUGACGCUGAUGUGCGAAAGCGUGGGGAUCAAACAGG